rnacentral:rRNA from 1 species
CCCCUAGAUGUUCUGGGCCGCACGCGCGCUACACUGAACAGUUCAACAAGUCUUAACCUUGGCCGAUAGGUCUGGGUAAUCUUUGAACGCUGUUCGUGAUUGGGAUAGACCUUUGCAAUUAUGGGUCUUCAACGAGGAAUUCCUAGUAAACGCAAGUCAUCAGCUUGCAUUGAUUACGUCCCUGCCCUUUGUACACACCGCCCGUCGCACCUACCGAUUGAAUGGUCCGGUGAAAUCUCGGGACGGCGGCUUGGUCUCUUGCGUCCGACUGCUGAAACUUGAUUAAACCAUAUCAUUUAGAGGAAGGUGAANUCGUAACA